UGUCUCAAUUCAGGGUCUGCAUCCUACGUCGGCCGGAUUCGUCGGCCGGUUACGUCACAGCGCCGCGACUAGGCCUGUCCCAAUUCGAAGACUCCUUCAAAUGCGGUCGACGAAUGCGGCCUUCUUUUCGCCUGAAUGAAGGAUGGGUCCGGUGUAUCCUUCAAUAGGUAGCAUUUCCCAAGAUGCCUUGCGGGCCGGCCGGCAGAAAAACUUAAAAACAAUGGCGGACAGUGAAGCGGGAGCUGUCGGAGAGGAUUGUGCAUAUAAAUGUCAGUAUAAACUUGAAAACUGUUAGGUUAAGGGCUUUUUGUGAUACAUGAACAUUAUUUUAGUUAGAAAUGUAACAGUAAAAGUGCUUGUAUUGCGGUCUCGGCUCGUAUGUUCGGCCGCGCUCGGUGUCGUACUUCUCCCGCUACGUUAUCCCCUGAUUUUAAUAGAAGUUUGUAUUUUAGGGACAAAAGAGAACACCAGGGAAUUUAUUAAACUUAGGGCGGAGAUGGACCACAUGAUCACCGGAGCAAAGUAUUCGGCGGCUGUGGCAUGGAGACUAUUCUGGAGAAAAUGGGCAUCCAGGGGAAGGUGCCAGCGAUGACCAGCUUCUGGAGCUGAUCAGGGAGGACAUGAGGCUGCAGAGGGAGGCAGAGCAGCAGAGGGCACAGGAGAGAAGGGAGAACUUUGACAGCUUUUUACUUUGCUAGAAAAAAAUGGUUAAUAAAGAUUAAACAUGUACAUAUAAAAGAAAUAUCUAAAUAAAAUCAGUUCUGCAUUAAACUC